rnacentral:lncRNA from 1 species
AUGCCCUGGGUCCCAGUUUUCACAUUCUGGUCACUGUGGAUGCGGGAAAUAAGAAGAUCUUUUCUUCACAGUUUUAGGAGAAAUGCCAGAAAACGUCCUCGCCCAGACGUGCUGCUGCGAUCCAAGAUUUCGCUGCGGUUAACGCGAAGAGAGGAGGGAAGCGCACCUCCGCCCGCGCAGCCGCCCCCAGUCCUGCCCGCCGCGGCGAGCGGCCGCUGCGGGGCCGAAGAGGCGAUGCCGGGGGAGCCAAGCGCUGUCCCCCCCCCCACUUUCCCUCCCGGCGGCAGAGCGAGCGAGCAAACUGCCCCCGACCAGGUUUGCGAGGGCCGGGGCCGGGGAGGGGGCCGGGCACGGGAUGCGGCGGGGGCACCCAGCAGCCGGGACGCGCCGGCCCCCGCUCUCCGUGCGGCGCUGCCCCUCGGCCUCGCAGCCCCCGGGGCACGGAGGGGUUUGGGGGCCCGGAGCGGGGCCGGCCCGCACCCGCUGCUCCUGCCGGGGGAGGGCGGGCGGAAUCCCCCCCGCCGCCGCGGCCGCUUCACCGGGGAGGGAGCGGUGGGCUCCGACAGGCCGGGGGAGGCCGCCUGGGGAGCGGGGACGGCUGCCGAGGCUUGGGCCGGCACUUGGUGCUCCUGCCCUUGUCCCUAUUGCUGGGGGAAGCGGGGGGCGAACCCCAGCGGCGCCGAACGAGGGCUAUCGGCUGCCAGGCUGGCGAAGCCCAGCGCCUUUGAGCCGAGGAGAACCGUGCGAGAUUCGAGACUGGCGGGGGAAAGGUUUGAAGGCGGAUUUUAA